rnacentral:rRNA from 1 species
UGUUUGAAAUUUUUAUAUAAUUAUAGGUUAAAUUUUAAUUAUUUAAAAUGUGUAGUUAUAAUUUUAAAUUUUGUUAAUCGAAUUAGAUUAGUACCUAAUUAGUCAAAAGUUAAAAAAGCAGAAGUAAAGUAAAAUUUAAACUGAAAGAAUAUUGGCAGAUUUUCUAAAUUAUCUUUGGAGGUUGAGUAAUAAUUGAGAACCCUCAUUAACUACUUUUUUAGUUGUCUCAUGUAUGAUCGUUUAUUAUAUGCUUAAGGGAUAUAAUUAAAAAUUUUUAUUUAAAAAAAUAGAUAUAUAUUUGGUUUAUAUAAAAGUAAUAUUUGACCUACAGUAAUUUGUAAUUGUGGAUCUAUUUUUUAGUAAAGUAGUGAAAAUGUAAAAGACAGUAAAAAAAUUUUUAUGAUUUUUUGAAG